rnacentral:lncRNA from 1 species
AUAGAUACGAACGAAUAGUUAUGGUUAAUAGGUACUAACUGAAUGAGUUACACAUAUAUUUUCUCGAAUAUUGAGUAAAAGCAACAAAUACAUAUGAUUAUCCGUUGCUUCACAGUUUGCAUUUUUAUAUUAAUUCAAAAUUAUUGAAAGAAAUUAUAACUCAAACUUCUCCCAAAUUUAAAGACAAAAGUUGGAAUAACUUAAGCAUUUACAUUUUUAUGGUUUAUUGAAAAAAUCCAUUUUACUAUCCUCACAAGUUCACUUUAUCCGGUUAAUCCAUGAACAAAAUUAAGGCUCAUUUCACUCCCUCCAAACUAUUUGAGUUGGUCCAAUCUACC